rnacentral:lncRNA from 1 species
UUAGACUUGAACCUUCAUGAAGGCAUUUCCCACUUCUCCACAACUGAGGAAUUGUUGGCAAAUAUUUCUCGAACACACUCUUUGGAAAAAUUCAGCUGUGCACAUUAAAUCGUAAGAUGAUCUACAAGAUCACAGACCCCUCUGAGGCUAAUCAUGUACAUGUCUAUGGAUCUCAGCACAGAAAACCUCCCUUCAGUGCCUGGUAUAUCAAAUAUUCUAAUCUUCACUAUAAAACUCUGCCAAGGGUAAUGCAGACACCGUUUGGAUGCCUCCAGUGAUGGGCACAGAAAAUUUCAGCAAUACUGGAAGUCCCUGUUUGAGACAGAAGACAUGGAGUGUGCACGUCAAAACCACACCUAUCUCCAGGCCGGAUUGUCGCUGUGGCUUCUGGCUUGAGACCUUGGCAUAGACAUUUAAGAGCUCCAGGAGCUCAUACCUUAGUUAAGGAGAAAAUUCCAAUAGCUCAGGAGCAAUGAGCAGAUUGUUUUUUAAUCUCCCUUUGCCUAUGCAACAGAUACUGGGAAAUCUUUUUCCUAUUAAUUAUUAUUGAUCAUUAUCGAUUGAUUGAUUAUUGAUUGUCCAUCUUUUGGCAUGCACGGAGUAUUAGAACGUCACAGGAGGGAGAAAGCAAACAGAUGUGGGGGUUUUGAUGAACUCAAGAAGGUGGGUAGUGUACGAGCCAUUAAAUAAUAGGUAAAAUAGGAGUAAGUAGCAGCUAGAACAGGUGUUUCUGGAAGACCAUAUCUAGGAAAGACAAGCGUUGUAGUAGAACAAAGAGUUUGUAGGAGAUUGAUCUCCUGGGAACCAGAUAUAUAUAAGGGACUCUAAAAGGUCAGCGAGUAAUUUGAAACCUGACCUCCUUCUAUUGUCUGGAGUUCGUUCUCGCUGCCGGCAGCUAACCUCUGUGGUCAGGUUUGGGUUUAAUUUUGUCUUUUGCGUUGUUUCAGAAAUUGCUGGUGAAGACAUUUCCCGCCAGGUGGCGAUGUUCUCAUUUGGAAAAAAAAAAGGCGCAAAAAAAUGAGCAACUUUCUUUGUUUAAUGAUGCUGGCUGGAUUGUCUGAUCCCCGCCUAAGCCUAGGUUUAUUAAAGCUAAUAAAAUAAAAACAGC